GGAGGGUGCAAGCGUUGUCCGGAUUUAUUGGGUUUAAAGGGGUGCGUAGGCGGCCUAUUAAGUCAGUGGUGAAAGGUAUCAGCUUAACUGAUGACGUGCCAUUGAAACUGACAGGCUUGAGUACAGACGAGGUAGGCGGAAUUUAUGGUGUAGCGGUGAAAUGCAUAGAUACCAUAAAGAACACCGAUAGCGAAGGCAGCUUACUAGACUGAGACUGACGCUGAGGCACGAAAGCGUGGGGAGCGAACAGGAUUAGAUACCCUGGUAGUCCACGCUGUAAACGAUGAUUACUGGAUGUGUGCGAUAGACAGCACGCGUCUGAGCGAAAGCGUUAAGUAAUCCACCUGGGGAGUACGAUCGCAAAGAUUG
rnacentral:rRNA from 1 species